CCGGCGCCGCUGCCCGCGGGCCGGGGCCGGGCAGAAAUGAGCGCCGGGCUCGGCACGGGCCACGGGAGUUCGGCAGGGCCGCGACAGAAAUGGGACUGCCACUGAGGUUCAGAAAGCACUGGAUCAAAAAACUUCCUUUUCUCUGCUAACCCUCCUCUCCUAGAAUUCCUGCUCUCUGUUACACUUCCCUCUGCCAUCGCCACUACUGUUCCUCUCUCUACUCCCAUGUCUUUCACAUCACCCUUAUGCACCCUUAACUUUUGCUGUCUUUGUUUUACCUGUUCCUUAAUGCUGUUCUCAUCUUGUCUCUCUGCCCCCCUUAUUUCUCCCUCUCAAGUCCUUUUCUGCCCCAGAUGAUAUUCAGUAUGAUGCUGGAGCCAGCCUUCUGCUUAACUUCAGGUAAAGCAGGAAGGUAAUAGAUUUUCUCAGGUGUUUCUCCAUGUGAGGAAACCCACUUGUCUUUCUACCUAGGUACAUUUUUUUUUUUUUUAAUUGCAGCCAUUCUGGUUCAAACUUUCAAAAUAAUUUUGUGUAAGGUAGAGCACAGAAAGCUUCAACCUUGGCAGUUGACAAGGAAUAUCCAGUAUGAUCUUGAUACACUGGAUUAUAUACUGGAUUAUAUUGAACACUAAUAAAAAAGCUCAAGCAUUUUUGGUAGAAGCUCUCUGAAUGUGCUGCUUCUGAUCAAGACCAGCAAACAGGUGACCUGUGCUGUUCUCCAGGUCUUUUCUCUGUGUGUGGUCUUUAGCAUGGAGAUGUAGUGAAUUUUGUAUCACUGCAAUAGUGAUUAAAAACUCUAAGACUUAGUGGGAUUAACAGUGUGUGGAAGCAUGGCAGUUUCCUGAACUUUAAAUGUGGAGUGAUCACACCCCUCUAUGGCUUUAAUUGACUUUUGGUAGUGUGAGUUGUAAUAUUUUGUUCAGUUACAGAAAGGAUAAUUGCAUGUCUUUAAAUCAUUCUUACAUGCCUGUUAUUUAAUUUAUGGCUAGUUCAAGAGGGAAAGGACCAUGGAGCUGGAAGGUACAAGCCAUGGCUUAUCUGCAGCUCCAGAUGUCUGAGGUGCCAGCUGGGAUAUGGGAGCAUCAGACCAAAGCAGCUUCUGAGCCAGCUUGGUUUGGGUGCUUCACAUUCAGGCAAAAGACUUCCCAGCCCAUGGAGUCUCAGCUGUGCCCAAUGCCCACCUUGUCCCCAGCCCAGAGCUCUGAGUGCCACAUCCAGGCCUUCCUUGGACACCUCCAGGGGUGGGGACUCCAAACCUCCCUGGGCAGCCCCUGCCAAUGCUUGACAACCCUUUCUGUGAAGAAACUCCUUCUGAUGUCCAACCAGAACCUUCUCUGGCACAGCUUGAGGCUAUAUCACUACCCCAUAUUAAAUAUUUUCUUUCAGCUGCAGCUGCACAACUUCAGACUGAGUGGCCUCAUUACCUCUGGGCUUCCUUCUGCUGGUGUUCGGCAUCAUCUGUUUGAAAAACAAUGAACUUAAUAUCUUUAUAUUGUUACACCUUAUAUUUUGUACCAUGUCUGCUAUUAAUUCUUGUUGAGAGGAGUUUAAUACUGCUGGUGUUUUGAUUAAUAUUCUCCCCUUCCACAGAAUGGUUUUUAAAAGAUGCAAAAUUGACAAUAAAUUCUUGUGGCUCGUGAGGUUGACUCAUGUUCUGAAUUAAAUAAAAUCACACAGGACCUGG